ACAUAUGUUGCUAAACGAUGGAAAUGAUAGGGCAAAAGGCAGGAAUCCGAAAGGCACUCGGUAAUGGGGUUAUAUAUACUUCAUAGUUCAUAUACAAGCUAAAAAAUUAGAUACUCGAAAAAAAAGUAUUGCAGCCAGUACAUAAUAAUCCCUCGCAUUCUCAGAUACAAUUCAAGCAAACCGUUAAUUUAGAGCUUAAGUCUGAACACACAAUUAAUUUAUAUUUUCACGGGUAAUUAAACUAACUUAUAUAUUUUGCAUUUAUAUAUUGACU
rnacentral:lncRNA from 1 species